rnacentral:rRNA from 1 species
AGAGUUUGAUCCUGGCUCAGGAUGAACGCUAGCGACAGGCUUAACACAUGCAAGUCGAGGGGCAGCAUAAAAGUAGCAAUACUUGGUGGCGACCGGCGCACGGGUGAGUAACGCGUAUGCAACCUACCUAUCAGAGGGGAAUAACCCGGCGAAAGUCGGACUAAUACCGCAUAAAACCAGGGGCACCGCAUGGUGAUAUUUGUUAAAGAAAUUCGCUGAUAGAUGGGCAUGCGUUCCAUUAGGUAGUUGGUGAGGUAACGGCUCACCAAGCCGACGAUGGAUAGGGGAACUGAGAGGUUGGUCCCCCACACUGGUACUGAGACACGGACCAGACUCCUACGGGAGGCAGCAGUGAGGAAUAUUGGUCAAUGGGCGGGAGCCUGAACCAGCCAAGUCGCGUGAAGGAAGAAGGAUCUAUGGUUCGUAAACUUCUUUUGCAGGGGAAUAAAGUGCAGGACGUGUCCUGUUUUGUAUGUACCCUGAGAAUAAGGAUCGGCUAACUCCGUGCCAGCCGCCGC